rnacentral:rRNA from 1 species
AACGCUAGCUACAGGCUUAACACAUGCAAGUCGAGGGGAAACGACAUCGAAAGCUUGCUUUUGAUGGGCGUCGACCGGCGCACGGGUGAGUAACGCGUAUCCAACCUGCCCACCACUUGGGGAUAACCUUGCGAAAGUAAGACUAAUACCCGAUGAUAUCUCUAGACGACAUCUGAAAGGGAUUAAAGAUUUAUCGGUGAUGGAUGGGGAUGCGUCUGAUUAGCUUGUUGGCGGGGUAACGGCCCACCAAGGCGACGAUCAGUAGGGGUUCUGAGAGGAAGGUCCCCCACAUUGGAACUGAGACACGGUCCAAACUCCUACGGGAGGCAGCAGUGAGGAAUAUUGGUCAAUGGGCGAGAGCCUGAACCAGCCAAGUAGCGUGCAGGAUGACGGCCCUAUGGGUUGUAAACUGCUUUUAUAAGGGAAUAAAGUGAGUCUCGUGAGGCUUUUUGCAUGUACCUUAUGAAUAAGGACCGGCUAAUUCCGUGCCAGCAGCCGCGGUAAUACGGAAGGUCCGGGCGUUAUCCGGAUUUAUUGGGUUUAAAGGGAGCGUAGGCCGGAGAUUAAGCGUGUUGUGAAAUGUAGACGCUCAACGUCUGCACUGCAGCGCGAACUGGUUUCCUUGAGUACGCACAAAGUGGGCGGAAUUCGUGGUGUAGCGGUGAAAUGCUUAGAUAUCACGAAGAACUCCGAUUG